CCAUCGCCAAACCCGUGCCCGACUCCUCCUGUUUCUCUUCUCCUCUUCGUUUCCUGAUCUCUUCUUCUUCCCCUCACAUCUUCUCCACGGAUCUUCUUCCCGAUCGCAACCCUUGUUGCCCGGGCGCCACCUUCUCUCUGCCCUAGCCAUCCCUGGACGCUGAAUCCUUCCUCCCUCAUCCUCUUGCGACACCGACCAUGCUUCUGCUUCCCCGCCUCUUCCUCUCUUCCAGCAGAGCAUCACCAACUUUACCUUCCCCUCGUGUUACCCCGGUUGCAACGACCGACACCGGUCGCCAGCCGCCGAUCGCUCACGGUCAUCCUCGACAGAUCACCCCCCUUGCUGCGAUUUGGCAGCACAACAACCACCCCGAGCCCUAGCUCGAUCCACCACCGGUGUCCUCCCGUGCCCUAGCCUUGGUCCACCGCCACCUCUGCACGGGUUUGGUUUCGGAUAGGAGCUAGCAGCCGAGGCCCUCUUCCUGAUCCAAGCCGCCAUCUUUGAUCUGGCGAUGACAGUAGGCUGUGGAUUCUGCCGGCGGCCAGAUCGGAGACAUCGUCGGCAGAGAUCGACUGCCGAUCCUUAGUGUGGAAGGGGCGGUCGGCAUAGAAUUAGUUUCGGCAGCAAGCUUCUCCGGCGGUGAAUCAACAGCGGAGCAUCCGGAUUUGGCAACUUUGCUAUGCUCUGGCCAUAGGUUUUGAUAGCAAAAGUGUUUUAGCAGUGAGUCAACAGUGGCUGUGAAGUGAGGACUCUAAUUCGAGACGAGCGUCUCGACGUCAGAUUUGGCUUGAUUGAAUCUUCUUUUUGAGGCGGGUACCUUGACUUAUCUUUUAGAUAUUGUCAUUUGAUAUGCAUACUAGUAGUUUUUAAUAAGUAGUAAUGAUUAUGUUCAUAUCUGCAUUGGUAUAUCACUAGUAGUUACCAAUGGCGUAGCCAGGAUUUUAGACCAGAAGGGGUGAUUUUUAAAAUUCUAAAUAUUAGUAUAGAUCAAUUUUCACUUUCUAAUAGUUUAAAUUUUGAAUUCAAUAAGUUAAACAUGAACUCAAAUUUAAAAUUUUUUUAGUUUAGCCCUUGAUUUUGGUUAAAACUGUUCGAUCGAAAAGAAUUUAGAUAUCUCCACAAUGACAUGAUAUUGUCUACUUUGAGCCUAGACCCUCAUGACUUUACUCUUGGGCUCACCCCAAAAGACCUCAUUCCAAUGGAGAUAUCAUGUAUUCUUUUAAACCCAUGAUCUUUCUCAUGUGUUUUCAAUGUGGGACUAUGUUUGCAUCUAACCCCAACAAUCCCCCCUCAAAUAAAGGACCACUGGCUCCUUAACGUCCGAUCCUCAACCCACUAGGACUUCCUGCCCCUCGGUUCACCCGACCUACUAGGAUUUCCUUGCCUAGUCACAACUAGGACUUCCUGCCUAGUGUCUGAUUCUCUUGAUCCGGACAUGGGAGCCCCCACUUCUUCGUUCAAGGUCAACAUUCCACCCACAUGGUUCGAUUAGACCAUGGCUCUUGUGCACAGUUGGCGGUUAGUCCUUCU